CUACGGGCGGCUGCAGUGGGGAAUAUUGGACAAUGGGGGAAACCCUGAUCCAGCAAUGCCGCGUGUGUGAAGAAGGCCUGCGGGUUGUAAAGCACUUUCGGUUGGGAGGACUGCUUCUAGCACUAAUAUUGUUGGAAGUUGACGUUACCUUCAGAAGAAGCACCGGCUAACUCCGUGCCAGCAGCCGCGGUAAUACGGAGGGGUGCAAGCGUUAAUCGGAAUUACUGGGCGUAAAGCGCGCGUAGGCGGCUAGAUCAGUCGGGUGUGAAAGCCCCGGGCUUAACCUGGGAACUGCAUCCGAUACUGUCUAGAUUGAGUACAGGAGAGGAGAGUGGAAUUCCACAUGUAGCGGUGAAAUGCGUAGAUAUGUGGAGGAACACCAAUGGCGAAGGCAGCUCUCUGGCCUGAUACUGACGCUGAGGUGCGAAAGCGUGGGGAGCAAACAGGAUUAGAUACCCUUGUAGUC
rnacentral:rRNA from 1 species